CCAGGUUCACAGAAAAUAGAAAUUCUUUACACAGUCUUCUGAUCAAUAGAAUCAAAGCCCUUUUUCUGUAAAUACUGGCUAGAGAGUUGCUAACUUCCAUAAUGGAGAAAUGGAAAAAGCAGUUUCUUUCUCCAAUAAAACCACAAAAGCCAUGGUUUUAAAAGAAACUAUAGAGGAUUUCUUGUGUGGAGUCCUUAGCUUUGUGACUGCUGAGAUUUAAGACAUAGGAAAUCAUGACUUCCUCGUGGCAGCCUCAUGAUUCUGAGAUCACAGCACGUGCAUUUGGUACAGCCAGCAGAGGUGGUGGUGUCUUCUCGAAUUCCUGACCUUCUUUCCAUGGCAGAAGAAGCAACCCUUUUGCUAACUGAGGUCUAUGGUGGUGUUCCUGGAAUCUCCAUCUCUAACCUAUUUACCUAAUCCUUCCAAAAAUCUUAUAUUGAAUCUUUUCAUGUUUAAAUUAUUUAGAAUGGUUUGUGGUAUCUGUAAACACUGACCAAUGCUUCCCACAAUAAAAUCAGCAGUAUGGAAAGAAAGAAAGCAGAUGGUUAAAUAGUUUCUAACAUAAUUGCUAAAAAUACAGUUUGUAUGUGGGCUUGGUUAAGGAUCUGUUAAGCUGCAGCUAGAUGCUUUGGCACUUAUGUCUUGUCCACAUAGUAACAAUAUACUCAUUGAUUACUACAUCUUAGAUUUAUAGCUACUUAAUAAUAUAACUUAUUGGAGCAACACAUCUGGGCAAGAGAAAUUUCUUCUUAGUCCUCUUUUGUUUUACAUUCCAAGCUAUACAUACGGUCAUACUUCAUUUUAUUAUGUAUUGCAGAUAUUGCAUUGUUUACAAAUUGAAGAUGUGUGGUGACCCCGCGACAAGCAAGUCUACCAAAGCCACUUUUCAGCAGCAUCUUCUCACUUCCUGUCUCUGUUUCAAUUAUGGUAAUUCUCACAAUAUGCCACCACACCUGGCUAAUUUUCGUAUUUUUUGUAGAGACAGAGUUUCACCAUGUUGCCAGGCCAGUCCGGAACUCCUGAGUUCAAGUGAUCCACCUGCCUCGGCUUCCCAAAUUGCUGGGAUGACAAGUAUGAGCCACCAUGCCUGGCCUGUAAUCUUUGAUGUUACUUUUGUAAUUGUCUUUAGGUGCCACAAAGUGUGACAAUAUAAAACAAUGUACUUAAUUAAUGUA
ensembl:lncRNA novel transcript